rnacentral:rRNA from 1 species
AGAGUUUGAUCAUGGCUCAGGACGAACGCUGGCGGCGUGCUUAACACAUGCAAGUCGAGCGGAAAGGCCCUUCGGGGUACUCGAGCGGCGAACGGGUGAGUAACACGUGAGUAAUCUGCCCCUAGCUCUGGGAUAGCUCCGGGAAACCGGGAUUAAUACCGGAUAUGACCACUACAGACAUCUGUUCUGGUGGAAAGAAUUUCGGCUAGGGAUGAGCUCGCGGCCUAUCAGCUUGUUGGUGGGGUAACGGCCUACCAAGGCGACGACGGGUAGCCGGCCUGAGAGGGCGACCGGCCACACUGGGACUGAGACACGGCCCAGACUCCUACGGGAGGCAGCAGUGGGGAAUAUUGCGCAAUGGGCGAAAGCCUGACGCAGCGACGCCGCGUGGGGGAUGAAGGCCUUCGGGUUGUAAACCCCUUUCAGCAGGGACGAAGCGAAAGUGACGGUACCUGCAGAAGAAGCGCCGGCUAACUACGUGCCAGCAGCCGCGGUAACACGUAGGGCGCAAGCGUUGUCCGGAAUUAUUGGGCGUAAAGAGCUCGUAGGCGGUCUGUUGCGUCCGCUGUGAAAACUCGGGGCUUAACCCCGAGCCUGCAGUGGAUACGGGCAGACUAGAGGUAGGUAGGGGAGAAUGGAAUUCCCGGUGUAGCGGUGAAAUGCGCAGAUAUCGGGAGGAACACCGGUGGCGAAGGCGGUUCUCUGGGCCUUACCUGACGCUGAGGAGCGAAAGCGUGGGGAGCGAACAGGAUUAGAUACCCUAGUAGUCC